AUUGAACGCUGGCGGCAUGCCUUACACAUGCAAGUCGAACGGCAGCGGACCUUCGGGUGCCGGCGAGUGGCGAACGGGUGAGUAAUAUAUCGGAACGUACCUUUCAGUGGGGGAUAACGUAGCGAAAGUUACGCUAAUACCGCAUAUUCUGUGAGCAGGAAAGCAGGGGAUCGCAAGACCUUGCGCUGAUUGAGCGGCCGAUAUCAGAUUAGCUAGUUGGUGAGGUAAAGGCUCACCAAGGCGACGAUCUGUAGCGGGUCUGAGAGGAUGAUCCGCCACACUGGAACUGAGACACGGUCCAGACUCCUACGGGAGGCAGCAGUGGGGAAUAUUGGACAAUGGGCGCAAGCCUGAUCCAGCCAUGCCGCGUGAGUGAUGAAGGCCCUAGGGUUGUAAAGCUCUUUCACCGGUGAAGAUAAAUGACGGUAACCGGAGAAGAAGCCCCGGCUAACUUCGUGCCAGCAGCCGCGGUAAAGUG
rnacentral:rRNA from 1 species